UACGAAGGGGGCUAGCGUUGCUCGGAAUUACUGGGCGUAAAGAGUGCGUAGGCGGUUCUCCAAGUCCGCUGUGAAAUCCCCGGGCUCAACCUGGGAAUGGCAGUGGAAACUAGGGGACUUGAAUCUGGCAGAGGGGGGUGGAAUUCCACGUGUAGCAGUGAAAUGCGUAGAGAUGUGGAGGAACACCGAUGGCGAAGGCAGCCCCCUGGGCUGAGAUUGACGCUCAGGCACGAAAGCGUGGGGAGCAAACAGG
rnacentral:rRNA from 1 species